rnacentral:piRNA from 1 species
UAAGCUAGGAAGAGUCUUG